AUGGCUAAGCAAGUUUCAUGGACACCUAACAUGUCCAAGUUCAUGCUAACAUGGCUAAGUGAUUUGGUCUCUAGUGGCAAUAGAACAAGUACUGCAUUCAAGCAAUCACAGUUCAACGCUUGUGCCAUUGCUUUGAAUGAGCAUUUCCAACUUAGCUUGAAUGGAGAUCAGGUUAAAAAUCAUAAUAGGACAUGGAAGCGAAAACUGCAGAAAAUAGUGAAACUCAAGGACUUGAGUGGUGCACUAUGGGAUGAGGACAAGUCUAUGAUUGUUCUUGAUCAUGAGCAUUACACAAAUCAUGUUAAGGCUCAUCCAGAGGACGAACAGUACCUUAACAAGACUAUUAUUCAUUAUAAGGAGAUGAUGAAUAUAGCUGGAGGGAGCAUGGCUACAGGGCAAUAUGCAAAAGACUCAAGUGACCCUCUUGCUACAGAAGUGGUUAAUCUUGAAGAAGAGACAACCAAGAAACCCACUGCCCCACAUGAAGAGGUUGCACAAUCAACCAAUGCAGGUUCAUUCGGUCCCAAACCAAAAAAGGCCAAACCAAAUCCUUGUGCGGAAGACAGGUUGCAUGCCACCAUACUUGCAUCUAGUGAAAGAAUUGCUAUUGCCAUAGAGAAGAGUUCUAGCACCUAG
rnacentral:rRNA from 1 species